AUGUUAAAUUAUUUAAUUCCACCACCACAGCUUCCAUGUAAAAUUAUUGAGCCUGAUGUCAUUAAUUAUCCCCAACCACUCAAUGCCCAUUUGGAGAGAACUGCAACUAUUCGAGAUUUCUUUUCAGAUUGAAGAUGGUCAGUUACAGAUUCUCAAAAAUGGAAUACAACUUCCCUCCCUCUCACACCCUCUCUCCUCAUCCCCAUAUUUACCACUACUUCCCUAAAUAAAUGUGUACUUUGAUCAAAUA